rnacentral:rRNA from 1 species
UACGUAGGGGGCUAGCGUUGUCCGGAUUUAUUGGGCGUAAAGAGCGUGUAGGCGGCCAUGUAGGUCCGGUGUGAAAACUCGAGGCUCAACCUCGAGACGUCGAUGGAAACCAUCUGGCUAGAGUCCGGAAGAGGAGAGUGGAAUUCCUGGUGUAGCGGUGAAAUGCGCAGAUAUCAGGAAGAACACCCGUGGCGAAGGCGGCUCUCUGGUACGUGACUGACGCUGAGACGCGAAAGCGUGGGGAGCAAACAGG